rnacentral:lncRNA from 1 species
CCCAGCUGAGGAGGAGCACAGCGCCGAACACUAGGGGGCCAGAGACACUCUUUUGCCAGCAGCUCCCGGGCUGUCAGAUCGGUGGGGCUGGCACAAGGGCAGCAGCUGCAUCCAGAGACCCAGCGGCAGGAGAGGAAUAAACUGGGGGGAAGAUUUGUGUCUCAGCCUCCUCCCAUCUGAGUCUCUGGAGAGAGAGAUGGUGGGGGUCGGGGUCAUGCCCAGGCCCGUCUGUCUAGGGAGCGAACUCAUGGGCAGCAAGCGGAAGAAACUUUGCGCCUGCCUGGUGGGCGUCUUCAUAUUAGCUGCCGCAGUAAUCGCCCUCACCUGCUGCGUGGUCCAGUGCCAGGGGCAGCUGAAGACCUCGGAUCUGGAUGGGAAACUCGCCAAGCUGGAGGCGGAGAAGGGGGCCCUGGAAAGGCAGCGGGACGGGGCACGGGCAGAGGUCACGGCGCUGCGGUCGGAGCUGGCUGGCACCAAUCAGACCCUCUGGGAGACGCGCGGGCGCUGGGACUCCUGCAGGAGCCUGACGCAUAACCUGCAGAACAACAUCACUGCCCUGAGCAACAAAAUCACACAGCUGGAAGCCAGAGACUCUGAGCGGGAGGCCAAAGAACAAGGGUUACAAGAUGAAAAUGGCAGGCUCAGAGAGCAGCUCUCCAGCCAGUCCCAGCAGCUGCAGGAUUCCCAGCAAGAGUUCCAGCAGCAAAGAAAUCAACUCGAAGCUAACAUCCAUCAGCUGAAAUUGGAGCUCCAAAGCCAGAGGAAUCAGCGCUCCAGCGGGGACAGCCUCAGGGGUCCCAGUGUGUCUCUCUACCUGGCUCCGCUGGCUCUGUCCCUCAUUGGGAUCCUUCUCCGUUAAGAGGAGCAGCUUUGUACAGGGCGGAGAAUCCCCACGGGAACACGUUGCAUUGCAUAGCGCACCCAGCUCGCUCCCCUCCAAGACGCCCUCAGGAGAACUGGUCUAAGCCACUAGCUUGCUACGACCUCGGCCCUUCCCCGGGCCCCUGCCCAGCCGGUCCCUGGCGGAAGGAUCUUGUUGGCUCCUGCCCAGCACUGGAGGACGAUGGGGAAACAGCGAAGAAGAUCCAGCCAGUGAAGGGCGCAGGGAGGAUGGAGCCACUUUACCCAGAGCCAGAGCCCCUGGGGUUUCUUGGCUGGAGGUUGCCCCAGAUGACGGUUGCCCUGAGUGGGGUUAAGCCCCAGUUGGGGUAUUUGCUGCUCCCUUAGGUUUUCUAUUUUUCUAAUAAAAUGUUGCCAAC